rnacentral:misc_RNA from 1 species
GAUGAAGAACGUAGCGAAAUGCGAUAAGUAAUGUGAAUUGCAGAAUUCAGUGAAUCAUCGAAUCUUUGAACGCACAUUGCGCCCGCCAGUAUUCUGGCGGGCAUGCCUGUCUGAGCGUCAUUUCAACCCUCAUGCCCCUAGGGCGUGGUGUUGGGGAUCGGCCAAAGCCCGCAAGGGACGGCCGGCCCCUAAAUCUAGUGGCGGACCCGUCGUGGCCUCCUCUGCGAAGUAGUGAUAUUCCGCAUCGGAGAGCGAUGAGCCCCUGCCGUUAAACCCCCAACUUUCCAAGGUUGACCUCAGAUCAGGUAGGAAUACCCGCUGAACUUAAGCAUAUCAAUAAGCGGAGGA